GCUGGGGCCAGUCAGGACCAGUCGUGGGCAAAAUAUAUAUAUUUUUGUCCACUGUUGCAGUCUUCCUAGAGCAAAGUGGAGGUCUCUGUCUGCUUUAGGACAGCCAACUAAACUGGAUCGUUCCCCUCCACACACG
ensembl:scaRNA small Cajal body-specific RNA 3